CCUACGGGAGGCAGCAGUGGGGAAUAUUGCGCAAUGGGCGAAAGCCUGACGCAGCGACGCCGCGUGAGGGAUGAAGGUCUUCGGAUCGUAAACCUCUGUCAGCAGGGAAGAACGGUCACUGUACUAAUCAGCAGUGAAUUGACGGUACCUGCAAAGGAAGCACCGGCUAACUCCGUGCCCGCAGCCGCGGUAAUACGGAGGGGGCGAGCGUUGAUGGGAAUUACUGGGCGUAAAGGGGGUGUAGGCGGUUUGGCAAGUCCAGGGUGAAAUCCCCGGGCCCAACGUGGGGACUGCCCUUGAAACUGGGAGACUGGAGUGGGGGAGGGGGAGGCGGAAUUCCAGGGGGAGGGGUGAAAUGCGUAGAUAUCAGGAGGAAAACCGGUGGCGAAGGCGGCCUGCUGGACCCAAACUGACGCUGAGGGACGAAAGCGUGGGUAGCAAACAGGAUUAGAUACCCGUGUAGUC
rnacentral:rRNA from 1 species